AAUCAACGCCGGCGGCGUGCCUCAGACAUGCAAGUCGAACGCGAAAGUCCCCUUCGGGGGACGAAGUAGAGUGGCGCACGGGUGAGUAACACGUAGGUAAUCUACCUUCGGAUGGGGAAGUAACAACCGGAAACGGUUGCUAAUACCGCAUAAUGCAGCGGCACCUAAUGGUGACAGUUGUUAAAGCGGGGGAGUCGAAAGACCUCGCGUCUGAAGAGGAGCCUGCGGCGGAUUAGCUAGUUGGAAGGUAAUGGCUUACCAAGGCGACGAUCCGUAGCCGGCCUGAGAGGGCGGGUCGGCCACACUGACACUGACAUACGGGUCAGACUCCUACGGGAGGCAGCAGUCGGAAUUUUGGGCAAUGGGCGAAAGCCUGACCCAGCAACGCCG
rnacentral:rRNA from 1 species